rnacentral:rRNA from 1 species
GACGAACGCUGGCGGCGUGCCUAAUACAUGCAAGUCGAACGCAGUGGGGACGGGUGAGUAACACGUGGGUAACCUCCCAUCAGAGGGGAUAACACUUGGAAACAGGUGCUAAACCGAUACUGAUGGAUGGACCCGCGGUGCAUUAGCUAGUUGGUGAGGUAACGGCUCACCAAGGCAACGAUGCAUAGCCGACUGGAGAGUGUGAUCCGCCACACUGGGACGUAGACACGGCCCAGACUCCUACGGGAGGCCGCAGUGGGGAAUCGUCGGCAAUGGGCGAAAGUCUGACCGAGCAACGCCGCGUGGGUGAAGAAGGUUUUCGGAUCGUAAACCUCUUUUGGUAGAGAGGCGGUAUCUACCCAGAAAGCCACGGCUAACUACGUGCCAGCAGCCGCGGUAAUUC